rnacentral:rRNA from 1 species
UACGGAGGAUCCAAGCGUUAUCCGGAUUUAUUGGGUUUAAAGGGUGCGUAGGCGGCCUAUUAAGUCAGGGGUGAAAGACGGUAGCUCAACUAUCGCAGUGCCUUUGAUACUGAUAGGCUUGAAUACACUUGAAGUAGGCGGAAUGUGACAAGUAGCGGUGAAAUGCAUAGAUAUGUCACAGAACACCGAUUGCGAAGGCAGCUUACUAUGGUGCAAUUGACGCUGAGGCACGAAAGCGUGGGGAUCAAACAGG